rnacentral:lncRNA from 1 species
CCCUGACCAAUCUCUAGCGGAUCACUUGUUCAUCCUCGGAGCAGGUACUGAUGAGCGAGGCUGUGCUCUAACCCUCCUCCUCCUCCUGGAGAACAAGCCCGUGCCCUUUCUCUCCUAGUCUCUCCCAGACGCAGCUGGGUCUGAGCGCCUCCGCCUCGGCCGCUCGCGCCAGAUGUUCUGGAAUGUGCCCCUGUCCUACACGCAGAGGACAGCGCCCCCCGAAGCAAGCGUCUCCGCAUACGCCCGCCUUCACCUGUCCAGCUGCGCCACGCGGGCUGUCUGCCCUUCGAGGACGGAAGGCUCAGCAAACGGAGUGGUGUGUUGGGUUUUGCUGUUGUCAAUGGAACUACAAUUUGAAGAAAUUAUUUCAUGUUUCUUUGUACCAAAGAAAGUUGCGCAUACACAGAGAAUUCCUACUCCUUUUGAAGUCAGUAAGAUACAAGGCACAGGAUGGACGAGGACAUCAUCUCCCCACAGUUUUCAUGCCUCACCCAGGCUCAAACCUUUUGAAGAAUGCACAAGGAAGCCCUUUUGAAAUACUUCUGCUGAGGUCUUUCCCCAUAUUGAAAUUCACAUGUUCUGUCUCCUAGAUACAGGUUAGUGUUGCAAUAAGGUCCCUCCUGUGGCUAAUACAGUGACACUGACUUGGUUUAGAGGUGCCACUAGCUGCCUGGGCCAAGACAAUGGUAGGACAAAUGGCACAGGCUUCUGAAUGACACCUACAUGGAUUGAAACCUAUGACUACCCUAUCUCCUUAUGGUGUGACUCAGUCAUUUGGCAGAACUGAGGGUAUUUUCUAAACCAUUAGAAUGGGAAAUAAAUUUCCAAGUCUUUUCGGAUUUUUGUUAAGAUUAUAGAGGACCAUGUUUGAGAAAGUGCUUAAUACCCAAUCGCAUUCCACAUUAACCUCCCCCUUUUGUUUUUCUGAAAAUAACAGGGAAUUGGGAAGAAAACACCAGUGUUCAAAUUUAUGUCCCAACUUCCCUUCCCCAUGUUAAUGCUGUCUUACCAUAGUCAUAGAAGAAGCUCUAAAAAUGCAUUUGUAAUAGUUUACAUGUAAUUGCAACAUGCUUUGAUGUUUGGCUUGUCAUCCCAUACAGGAGUGGAAGAACUAGGGCCCGAGAUGGAACUAACUGAACACAGCAGAGAAUUGAAGCAAACAGUGGCUAGAAGGAAACCACCACCACCAUCACCACCACCACCACCAAAGAUGCCCAGUAGGCCCAGUAGUAGGUAGGCACACAAAGUUUUCAGCAUAAAGCCAUCUCAAGGUCAAGAAAAGGUUAACUGGGUCCAGGGUGUAGUUUAGCAGUAGAGCAUGUGUGCGAGGCCCUGGGUUCAAUUCCCAACACCAAAAUAAACAGAUAAAAAAAUGGUUACUUAUCUGCCUGGUGUGCAGAACACAGGACAGUGGGCAAUGUACUCAAUUAUAUCUUCCUUAUUUAAUUAAAGUUUUGAGGUAUUUCUAUAAUAGAUCCAUGAGUUUCAUGAAGAUUUGUAUCAUAAAAUGUAAAAUACUGUACAUUUUUUGGCACUUGAAUGGUUAAAUCUCUGGCUGCAGGUUUUUUGGUUAUCCAGAAAACUUAAUCAAUUAACCCAUUUGUUUAUCCAAUAUUUAUUGAGUGCCUAUAAUGUAUAUAACACUGAGCUAGGUACUGGAUUUACUUGGAACAUCUAUUUGCCCCCAAAUUCUAGUUAAAAAAGUACCACUCAAAACACAGCUCCAACUUAUGUUAAUCUUUCAAUGAGCCUUCAUGAGUGGUUUACUAUCAUUGUAAGUGAUUUUAAUUUUAGAACCUUCUGGGUUGUACAAUAUAUCCCUCUUCCAAAGGAGACAAGAAAGAUAGAAUUGUGGAGCCAGCAAAUAUAAAGUUGAAAUCACUUGACAAGUCUGACAAUCCUGUUUUUACUUGAAACUUCAAUUGUGGUAAACACUUUUGACUCAUGAUCUCAUUUGUCAGCCUGUACAGUGAAUGUAAUUUACUUAGCUAAUUUCACUAGUAGAUUAUGUUCUUCCAGGGCACAGAGAAAUAGGAAUGAUAAAUAAGCCAUUACUGCUUGCUUUUGUAUCUCAUUUCAUAGCCUCAUAGCUUAGAGAAAAUAUAUCUAAAAGCACAAAUUAAUUGCACCUAAUUCUUAGAAGUAUCUCAAAAUGCUUUCUUUUAUUAGAGAUAUCAAAUAUACUCAAUGAAUAUAGGUAGACAGAUGUUGGUACUAUACAAAUAGAACAACAAACCAACAACAAUAAUAAUGUCGAUAAUAACAAAAGCAGUUACGACUUAUUUAGUGCCCACUGCCUGUCAGGUAUCGUGUUGCGUGGAUUGCUUUGACUGGAUUGCCAUCCAGCAAAUUUUUGAAAUGUUUUCAAGAAGGAAACAGGUUUAAAGAGUGUUUCUUGCUCAAAUUUUUCAUGUUACCAUUUUAGAGAAACAGGUCUUUAAACCUGAGCAACUGUACUCUACUUUUUUGCCAUUUAAAAUGUUAUUCUUUCAAACUCAGUAAAGAAACAGAAUUCCAUCUAUAUACAGAAUUUGUACUUGUUAGCCUUAAAUUUUACUAGCACAGGAAGUAAGGGGAUUAAAUAAAUCCCUGUGUAAAAUAGAAGGAUACAGUAUGUGACUUGUUCCCCAAGUGGAUUUUGGAAUCACCCCCGACCUCCCACAUCUGGGGAAUACAUUUUGUAAGUACUUCUUCAAAGUCUUUAUAGGUUUUUCCUUGGCAUAUAUAUUCACAAAAAUUUGUGUGUGGUGUUCCCAUUCUUCCCUGCCACUCAAACUUAGUGGUGUGCUCUAGCAUUGAAUGUCAUAGAUCAAAGUAACUAUUGAAGUUGUCAAAGGCAACUCAAUGGCACACAGAUAUCACUUUAUUUGUCCUCUUAAUCUUUUAAAGACAGUUAUUAGCAUGAUUAGAUUUUACUUAAGUGAGAAGAAUAAAGACUCAGAAAGUGAGUUAAAGUAUCUGGGGGAGGUCUAUGAAUAAAUCCAGGUGUUUUCUCCCUCUCUCUCUCUCUCUCUCUCUCUCUGCAGGGUCUCACUAUGUAGUUGAGGCUGACCUGGAACGCACUAUGUAGCCCAGGCUGGUCUUGAAUUCACAGUGAUCCUCCUGCCUCAGCCUCCCAAGUGCUGGGAUUACAGGUGUGCGCCACCACACCCAGCUUUUCUCUCUUUUUAAAUUCAAAAUGUUUCACCUAAAUAGUGACAACUAUAACCAUAUAGCCCUGUCUGGUUCAAAAUAUGCAUUCAUUGAAAGAUCAUUUGUAAUUCAAAUCCAUUCAGUGCUGCUUCACUUAUGUAAUUUGUUAGCUAAAUUCAAGUAGUGUCCCCUGCACCUAUUUUAAUGAUAUAGCACAUCAAUAAUAUUUUCACUCAUUUAAAGCCAUGUUUACCCACAGAAUCUUAGCAACAAAAAAAUUCUGAAAGACAAUCUUCACACAUUCAAAUAGCCAGAAUUUUCCAAAUUAAGGUCAUGGAAUUUGAAAAAUCACACACUUAAAACAAAGUUGGUAGAAAUAGUUUGUGUAGAAAAUAUACUCAAGGUCACAGUACGUCCAUUAAAUCCUUCCUCCAACAUGCAAGACACACCAGGCUGAUUUCUAGUUGGGUUCUGCCUGGCAUUUUCUUAAGGGAAUGGUGGAAACUUUAUUACAAAGGACGCAAAGUUAUCAGUGACAGGAAAAUCAGGGGUCCACAGAGGUAAGAGAGGAGAGGUGUCAAAAUCAAAGAGGACCAGUAAGCUGUUUGUGGGAAUCUCAAUUGACUUAUGCAAUUUUUAGAGCCCCUUCCCAGUAAAUAAACAACAAGGGUGAACUGUAGAGGAAAAAGGAAAAGAUACAGCCAAAAAGGUGAGACACAGCCAUCUUGAUGGGGGGGGGCGUCUAACUACACAAUGAGGUCAUCCCAUCUCCCGGAAGUGACACGCAAUCACCUGCUUUGCACUAGCUCCGCCCCUUCCCUCAGAGGUCCCGCCCCUCCGCCAGCAGCCGGGAGGGUGUUAGGGGGCGUUUCUCCAGAAGGAAAGCUGUGAGCUGCGACGCUGAGGAAGGGGACCCCAAAACGCCUGGCACUGCCCCCUCCAGGCAUCACUUUGGACCGCCUCACUCGGCCCAGCGGGAUUCUGAAACGCCGAGGGGUCAACCUGAUGGGUUUCGGGGUCAACGGAAGAGGGGAAGGGGAGCCCUGGCGGGGAGAACCCCCCGGCCCCCCGCCCAGCAGCUGAGGCACAGGAGGGCGGCCAUCUUGGCCGGGAGGGUAGGGCCGGGGAGCUGCGGGCGCCGU